rnacentral:rRNA from 1 species
GACGAACGCUGGCGGCGUGCUUAACACAUGCAAGUCGAACGAUGAACACGGCGCUUGCUCCGGCGGAUUAGUGGCGAACGGGUGAGUAACACGUGAGUAACCUGCCCUUGACUCUGGGAUAACUGCGGGAAACUGUAGCUAAUACCGGAUACGCCCGUCGGCGGCAUCGCCAGGGGGUGGAAAGAAUUUCGGUCCAGGAUGGACUCGCCGCCUAUCAGCGAGUUGGUGAGGUAACGGCUCACCAAGGCGACGACGGGUAGCCGGCCUGAGAGGGUGACCGGCCACACUGGGACUGAGACACAGCCCAGAAUCCUACUGGAGGCAGCAGUGGGGAAUAUUGCACAAUGGGCGCAAGCCUGAUGCAGCAACGCCGCGUGAGGGAUGACGGCCUUCGGGUUGUAAACCUCUUUUAGUAGAGAAGAAGCGAAAGUGACGGUACCUGCAGAAAAAGCACCGGCUAACUACGUGCCAGCCGCCGCAGUAA